rnacentral:misc_RNA from 1 species
GAAAUGCGAUAAGUAGUGUGAAUUGCAGAAUUCAGUGAAUCAUCGAAUCUUUGAACGCACAUUGCGCCCUUUGGUAUUCCAAAGGGCAUGCCUGUUCGAGCGUCAUUUGUACCCUCAAGCUUUGCUUGGUGUUGGGCGUCUUGUCUCCAGUUCGCUGGAGACUCGCCUUAAAGUAAUUGGCAGCCGGCCUACUGGUUUCGGAGCGCAGCACAAGACGCGCUCUCUUCCAGCCAAGGUCAGCAUCCACAAAGCCUUUUUUCAACUUUUGACCUCGGAUCAGGUAGGGAUACCCGCUGAACUUAAGC